rnacentral:rRNA from 1 species
UACGUAGGUGACAAGCGUUGUCCGGAUUUACUGGGCGUAAAGAGCGCGCAGGCGGUCGUUCAAGUCGAGUGUGAAAGCCCCCGGCUCAACCUGGGGGAGGGUCAUCGAUACUGAUCGACUCGAAGGCAGGAGAGGGUAGUGGAAUUCCCGGUGUAGUGGUGAAAUGCGUAGAUAUCGGGAGGAACACCAGUGGCGAAGGCGACUACCUGGCCUGUUCUUGACGCUGAGGCGCGAAAGCUAGGGGAGCAAACGGGG